rnacentral:rRNA from 1 species
GAUCCUGGCUCAGGACGAACGCUGGCGGCGUGCCUAAUACAUGCAAGUAGAACGCUGAAGGAAGGAGCUUGCUCUUUCCGGAUGAGUUGCGAACGGGUGAGUAACGCGUAGGUAACCUGCCUGGUAGCGGGGGAUAACUAUUGGAAACGAUAGCUAAUACCGCAUAAGAGUAGAUAUCGCAUGAUAGCUGCUUAAAAGGUGCAAUUGCACCACUACCAGAUGGACCUGCGUUG